UAGCAGUGAAAUGCGUAGAGAUGUGGAGGAACACCGAUGGCGAAGGCAGCCCCCUGGGUCGACACUGACGCUCAUGCACGAAAGCGUGGGUAGCAAACAGGAUUAGAUACCCUGGUAGUCCACGCCCUAAACGAUGCCAACUAGGUGUUGGGGAAGGAGACUUCCUUAGUACCGUAGCUAACGCGUGAAGUUGGCCGCCUGGGGAGUACGGUCGCAAGAUUAAAACUCAAAGGAAUUGACGGGGACCCGCACAAGCGGUGGAUGAUGUGGAUUAAUUCGAUGCAACGCGAAAAACCUUACCUACCCUUGACAUGCCAGGAAUCCUGCUGAGAGGUGGGAGUGCCCGAAAGGGAGCCUGGACACAGGUGCUGCAUGGCUGUCGUCAGCUCGUGUCGUGAGAUGUUGGGUUAAGUCCCGCAACGAGCGCAACCCUUGUCAUUAGUUGCCAUCAUUUAGUUGGGCACUCUAAUGAGACUGCCGGUGACAAACCGGAGGAAGGUCGGGAUGACGUCAAGUCCUCAUGGCCCUUAUGGGUAGGGCUUCACACGUCAUACAAUGGUCGGUACAGAGGGUUGCCAAGCCGCGAGGUGGAGCCAAUCCCAGAAAGCCGAUCGUAGUCCGGAUUGCAGUCUGCAACUCGACUGCAUGAAGUCGGAAUCGCUAGUAAUCGUGGAUCAGCAUGUCACGGUGAAUACGUUCCCGGGUCUUGUACACACCGCCCGUCACACCAUGGGAGUGGGUUUCACCAGAAGUAGGUAGCCUAACCGCAAGGAGGGCGCUUACCACGGUGGGAUUCAUGACUGGGGUG
rnacentral:rRNA from 1 species